GCAUAUCAAUAAGCGGAGGAAAAGAAACCAACAGGGAUUGCCCUAGUAACGGCGAGUGAAGCGGCAACAGCUCAAAUUUGAAAUCUGGCGCAAGCCCGAGUUGUAAUUUGUAGAGGAUGCUUCUGGGUAGCGACCGAUCUAAGUUCCUUGGAACAGGACGUCAUAGAGGGUGAGAAUCCCGUAUGUGACCGGCCCGCACCCUUUACGUAGCUCCUUCGACGAGUCGAGUUGUUUGGGAAUGCAGCUCUAAAUGGGAGGUAAAUUUCUUCUAAAGCUAAAUACCGGCCAGAGACCGAUAGCGCACAAGUAGAGUGAUCGAAAGAUGAAAAGUACUUUGGAAAGAGAGUUAAAAAGCACGUGAAAUUGUUGAAAGGGAAGCGCCUGCAACCAGACUUCGCGGCAGUGUUCCGCCGGUCUUCUGACCGGUUCAUUCUCUGUCGCGAGGCCAUCAUCGUCUGGGCCCGCCGGAUAAGACCUGAGGAAUGUGGCUCCCCCUCGGGGGAGUGUUAUAGCCUCUGGUGAUGCGGCGUGGCUCGGGCGAGGUCCGCGCUUCGGCAAGGAUGAUGGCGUAAUGGUUGUCGGCGGCCCGUCUUGAAACACGAUAAGAGGUACCUAACAUCUAU
rnacentral:rRNA from 1 species